UCAUGACUUGCGGGGCAAGUUUGUCAGAGCUCUCCUUUCACAGCUAAAGGUUAAUAAAGGCUCAUGUGGCUGUGCAGAACCACUGGAAGGACAAUCAUGGCACAAACUCUGAGGAAUGCACCCAAAUGGAAGAAUCCCUUCCCUGUCUCAAACUCCUCUGGGGCUUUGUGCAGCAUCUCCUUCCCAUCUGGAAUCCCUGGUGAGAGCUGCGCUCCCAAACUGGCACCAGAACCACUUGGCAAUACCAGCAGAAUUGCAUCUGAGCUUCGACCUCAGACCUCCAAGAGCCUCGUACUCAACACGUUGAACCUGAUCUGACACCAGAGUUGACAGAGAGGGCCUGACGGGGUUUGAAUGCUCUUAAAACCACACUAAUGCCUCCUAAGAGGGGGAUUAAGUGAUGGGGAUGAGACAGAGCGAGCUCCCCUGCUGUGUGAUCCCACAGACCUUCUCUGGGUGAGCACCUUUGGAGUUAAUCCAAAUAUUCAUGCCUGGAACACAGAUCAACAGGAGGGCUUUUCAUCACAGACUAUGGGAAAAACAGAGGUUCUCCUGGCACCUACUGCUUCUAAACCAGAGUUGUAAUGAUUUGCUUUACAAAGGUAAUGCAGAUGAUUUUAGAUAUGGAUUCAAUUUUCAAGUGCCCCCGAGCUUUAAGCAUCCACUUCAGUAAUCCCUUAUUGGAAUUUGGGUGGACUUUUUACAGUCUGAAUUAAAAGCCUUGUUGAAUCUAAUUGAAUUUCUUCCAUGAUUUAAUGUGGAAAUGGUGAAGAACAGAUAAUUGUGUUUUAGUUAAAGAAAACUAUAUGAUGAGUUAAAUAUCUAUGAUUUCUGGGAAGGCCUGAAAUUCCCUCACUAAAUCUUUCUCCUGGCAUUGAAACCACCUGAAUAUUUUUCCAACAUUGAAGUGUUUUGCUUCCCAACGUCCCUGGGGAAUGGAGAAACCAAGUGGGUAACACCCAUUUUGUGCUUCUCUUUCCAAAAGUGUCCUUGGGAAGCUGAUGCUGGACCCAAGUGCUUUGCAAAUCUCUCCUCUCACGGUUUCCCCAUUGACACUUCUGGGCUUUUUGGGGAGACUUUGGAAGAGGUAUCCUGGUUCCUGAGGGAUGGGCAGGGAUCCAGACCUCUGAGACUGUGCCAUGAGAUUAUAUCUCCUGCAAGGCUGUUUGAGAACACUUCUACUUGCUGCAGACAGGUUUAAUUUAAUUUAAAUAAAAGGAAUAAAUCCCCCAGGAAUAAAGUGCUGUUAGUUCAUUGUGAAAGCUUAGGAUUAUCACCCAUCUCUGUCAUUUCUCCUGUGUAAUUCCUGCAUUUUUGGUGUUUCUUUACAUUUCUUCCAGUCCUCUCUGCUAAGGCAUUUCUUCCAAAGCUCCUCUCUCAGCAGUGUGUUAUUUAUGAUGCUCUAAAGGUGUUUUCCUGUGGACAACUCGUUCUUAAGUGUUAAUGCAAAUAAAUUGAAAUCUCUGGUUGCAAAGGCCUCACACUGGAGGGUUGUUAUAACACAUCAUAAAAACCUCUUUUCCAAAGCUCUCCUGGAGGUGUAAAUAAAGCAGGAGGCAUUUCAGCCAUCACUGCUGGGGAUUCUGCCCACAUCCAGAGAUCAGUUAUUAACUAGAGAACCACAAUCUGACCCUGGGACUGGGAGUGCGGGUUCAGGCCAAACCCUGUCCCUCCUCAGCCUGGAUUUGCAGAGCCCCUCUCAUCUCUCAGCCUGAUUAGG